GCGGGGGUGUCGGAGACUGGUCAAUAUUUUUGACUAAACGACUACGGUUGAGGGCCGUAGGCCUUAGUGGCUGCGCGGGUUCAAAUCCCGUCCCCCGCA
rnacentral:tRNA from 1 species